UCAGGAUACAAUUCCCUCUCCCCAACUCACAAAAUCUUUCAGGCCCAAAUUUCCUCUCUUCAUCACCUUCUCUACUGAGAGAAAGUUGGCGCAAUCAGAACAACAAAGACCAACAUGAGGAAUUUGGUAGAUGGUCUAGACUAUCGGCUCUCGCCUUUGUUGACAAACUAAUGUAAAAUGAGAAGAAUGAGGUGAUUGUUGUAGAAAAUUACUCCAAUGGAUCAAAGGAUAAUCUAAAGCAACGGAUUGAUCAUCCAAGAUUUGAGCUAAUUCGUGAAGUGUUACUGAUACAGAUACUAAUGGAAUUCAUGUCGGUGAAAUUUGAUUAAGUCCCUUAACAAAUUAGACGUUGAAGUAAGUUGGUAGCAUAUAAAUUCUAUUUUUUCUGUUCAAGUUUGGAACUUUUUUGUUGCUUCUUUUGUUUGAAGUUAGCUCCAAAAGAUUUUGACAC